rnacentral:rRNA from 1 species
GACGAACCGUGCGAACGUUGUUCGGAAUCACUGGGCUUAAAGGGCGCGUAGGCGGACUGCCAAGUCCGGGGUGAAAUCCUCCGGCUUAACCGGAGAAUUGCCUGGGAUACUGGCGGUCUUGAGGGAGGUAGGGGCACGCGGAACUUCCGGUGGAGCGGUGAAAUGCGUUGAUAUCGGAAGGAACGCCGGUGGCGAAAGCGGCGUGCUGGCCCUCUUCUGACGCUGAGGCGUGAAAGCCAGGGGAGCGAACGGG